AGAAUAAAAAUCUGUUCUCUUUUCAGUUCAUGGCAGAAUUCCCCUUGAUUUCAGUAGGACCAAAAUCACUAGACUCAUACAGCUGUAGCUUCCAGGAAAAUGUCACUAAACUACUCUUCAGCCUCAUUACAAAAUGGCCUCAUUUGUGAAUCAAUGCCUAAGUCCUGCAUAUUAGCCAGCCUCACCUACACACUGAACAAGAAGAGAAGCAAAAGGUUUCAGGAACUCCACAGGGACAUGUUCAGGCAGAAGAGCAAAUGCUAGUAAAAAAAUAUCCUCUGGGAUCUCUCUGAGAGAUGGAAAUGGAGCCACUGAAAGCCGGCCAUACGAACUGCCGCAGGGUUUGCAACUGCAUCAACAGUCAUGAAACCGAAAACGGCUAGCCAACAGAUCUAACUGUAUUAGUCUAAGCACCUUCUCUGUUUUCAUUACCUGGAUCAUCUGCUAUAGGAACCACAUCUUGCAUUCAUACACUUAGGUAUAAACCCAGACUGACAAGAAUCAGGAAGAUCUGAAAUAUCUAGACAACAUGAACAUUUUCUAUGGGAUACUGUGGAAGAGUUAGCUGGCUUGCCUUGUGUCUAGCCUUGGCUGCUUGAUAAGAGACAGGAAGGCAGCUUUGUCAGAUGUUGGCAUGCCUCUAUAUUGCUAAUUAUAAGGACAUUACAUACUCCAAACUCUUUUCUUUCAACAACAUGCUAAUGUUAGAAAACUAUACUAUCUAGCUGUGUCUGGCAUGCUAUCACCUGAUUAUCAAUGUGUCAAAUGUCGGUAAUAAAACUCAGUUACUAAGCA
rnacentral:lncRNA from 1 species